rnacentral:rRNA from 1 species
AAGGAGGUUAUAAAAUUUAAAUGUAUGUGGGGACCUGCUUUUUUUAUAGAGGUGAAAUUUGUAUAAGGAGAGUUAGUCUUUUGUUCUCUUAUUUUUGAAGCCUCGAAAGUUUAAUGUAAGACCGGGAUUAGAUACCCCGUUAUUUAUUCUAUAAACUUUAAUUUAUUGUAAUUUACUUGGGUAUUACGGGCUGUAGUGAAUUUGUUAGUAGCUUGCAGAUGGCUUAAAACUCAAAAAACUUGGCGGUGCCUUAAUUCUUUCCGGGGGAACCUGUCCUUUAAUCGAUGGUCCACGAUUUAGCUUACCUUAUUUUGAAUGUUAGUUUAUUGUUAACUAGAACAGCUUGUAUACCGUCGUCGUCAGAUUACCUUUAAGAGAUGAGAAGUUGUCGGGAGGAGUAGGUUCUAUGGUUUGGCUUAGUUUAAAUAAGUAGAUUAGAGUUCUUAAUUCUAGAUGUCAGAUCAAGGUGCAGCUUAUGAUAAGGGAGAGAUGGGUUACAAUAGUUAUUUACUAAAACGGAUUUCGUUUUGUAAUAAAUGAAUUGAAGGUGGACUCGGGAGUAAUAUAAUUUAAAUAGAUAGUUUUUGUGAAACUGGUGCUAAGGUGCGU